UAGAAAAAAGCUUUAAAAGAACCAUUGGGCCAAAGAAGUUGACAUUUACAUGAAAGCUUUCUGACAUAGUGUAGAUUCAAGUUUGCAAAGGGUAGUUUGGGCCAUAAUAGGGACCAAGGUUUUACAUGCAAAUAUAUAUGGAAAGUCUUCAGAUAUGGGCCAAGGUGACUCAGGUGAGCGAUGUGGCCCAUGGGCCUCUUGUUUUUUAUUAUUGAACUCGAGAAUGAUUCACUUAUAAGGAGACGUCAUUACUGUCGGUGAAGGGUUGUAAAAUUUAGGCCUAUGCUCGGCACUUACGGCCUUUGAGCAGGGAGGGAUCUUUAUCAUGUCACACCUGCUGUGACACGGGACCUAGGUUUUUGCGAUCUCAUCCGAAAGACCGCUCCAUUUAGUCGCCUCUUACGACAAGCAAGGGGAAGUGAGAUAUCUUAUUCUAACCCGGAUCCCAUAUAUUUUUACGCUAUAUAUUUAAAAAUAAUUCAUUUUUACUCUAGAAGUACUUUGGACAUAAACCCUCUAUUAUGGAUAUAGCAGAACAGUUUUAUAGUUAUAAAAACAACUAAAUAGGUCCAUAUAUCUCUGUGCAAUUCGCACCCUAUGAGAUCACAACGAAAAAGUACGUCACGACGUACAUCUAUAUAUGUUGUCGUUAUUGACUGCCGUUAUCAAGUGAUAAGCUGUAUAUACGUGAAAACAUUUCUUGUCAAAUGCUGGUCAAAUAAUAUAUUAUUUCAAUUUCGUAUCAAAUCACUUGAACAUUUUUUAUAUUUGCGCGAAGGUCAAAAUUCAUAUUGUGACCUUGAAAUCGCUCCUUUAUUUUCUUCCGAUCCCGUUCAUCACUAAAUUGUAAGAAAAUCUAAUUUACAUAAUUAUUGCGAGCAGAAUGUAAAGGGGGUAACGAUAUAUGGUGUAUAAAGUGUAUAUUUAUAUUCCUGUUACAAGAGGAAAUAGUUAGGACACACUUCUGACACAUAAAGAAACCGCAUCUGAUUAUGUCUAGCCUACUCUUGAAAAUGAAAAAGAGUAUGCUGCAUUAGAUGCAUUUUAAACUUUCCUUUAUCGGAGCACUUGCUCCCAAGACUAUUCAGUUAAUGUAAAAGUAACCUUUGUUUUUAAUGUAGAAGGGUCGGCCUGCAUUUAGUUAAUAUCGUCCCACUUUUGCGAUUAUUACAAUCAUUUUUGUUGGUUUUUUAAAUUCAUAAUGGCAUUAAAUAUUAUCCAUUUAUAAAAUCACUUAAAGAUUGUUUUAUGUAUUUUACUUUAUUUUUGUAUGGGGGCGCGUUAAUUCAAUGAGAAACAAUUUCUCGGAAUUAGUAAAAGAUCCAUUUCUAAGCUGCAUUCUUUGUUUUCCAUCUUGUUAGAAAGUUUGAGCAGACGUUUGUAUAUGUGUCAUGAUCUGAAAAGUAUCUUCCUGUUUGAUGAUUCACGUUAGAUUUGUCAGAGAUUUAUGCUAUUAUCUCCAAUUUAUUGGUAGAAAUCAGGAAAUAAUACUUAAUAACAAUUGUCAUCCGUGAUCUACUGUAAAAUAUCGAGUUUCAAAUCUAAGUGUACUGUUCAAGGCAAUACGAGGAUGUUACAUGUUUAUUCGUUAGAGUAUUGUACCAGCUUACAAUAAAAUGUAAUCUAAGUUGCAAGUCUGCAUCAUCACUUUCUCCAACUUGUUUUCAAAAACUUGUGCCAAUGAAAUGUAUACAUGUGCAUGUAUACAUGAUGUUUUACUUGAUUUAUUUUUGCGAAAGGGGUAUUGCACUUGCACUUGGUAUGCAAUUUCGCCUACAUAAAUACCUUUUUUCUUGAAUAUCAUUUUUUACAAAUAUUCUGCUAUACAAUGUCAGUUUAUGCUUGUGUUUACCCAAGUUACUUAAUAAAGAUAUCGAUAUGUUGAUAGUAUCUUUAUUUGAUAAGCACAAACAUCACCAUGAUUAUAUAGAGUAUAUAGUAGAUGUAACGUAAUGGGCAUAAAAAAUUGCAAACUCUUGCAAAAGGCCACCUUAAACCAGAAAUAAAACACUGAAAUUGUUUUACUUGAUUAUGACUGUAUAUAAGUCCGUUUGAGGAAAUUUGGUUUAAGGUGGCCCUCUUGUUGAAAAUGGAUAAAAUAUGAAAAAAUCGUUCUCAAAAUUUACCUUGAGAUUUAGCAACCUGUCAAACGUUAAACCUUUAAACUUAAAUGCCUGGGUGGCCUAGUGGUUUAGGUGCUCGGUAAUCUUACACUUAAACCAUACGUUCCGAGUUCAAGUCCAAUAUUUUUCCAAUAUUUUUUUUUUCCUUUUUCAUUUUUUGGGGUCGUUUUCUUGAAGGGGUGGGGUGUUUUAAAUGUGAUACAUAUAUCAUAACAAAUAUUAGUCAUUUUCAUCAUAACUUCUAAUAUUUGCAAGUUAUACGACUUAAAGAAUGGGAAUUUAUUCUGAGAUCAUUGUAGUUCCGCUUGUUUACACUAACAUGUUGCUGUGUGCACAGGAAUUUCAAACCGCAAUGUGGCUGACGAAAAGCUAAACAAAUACUACAAUACUACAAGAAAAAGGACACAAAUGCACAGCAUGUAAUAAGUAAAAAUAGGUCAAGGGAGGAAAAGAACUGUUAUACAGUUUGACUUCUCAAAAGAAAAUAUAAAAACUCAUGCAGCAAGUGUCAUAUGAUAUUUAGGCAAAGAUAAACACUCGAAUUAUCAACCAAAGGCAAAUGAACUGAUAACAUCUAUUAAAGGCGCUGCAGUCAUGUCAGAACAGUGAGUUAAGCAAUGCCAUAUGUAAAAGGGUUGUUGCACACGUCUAUGAAAAUAUUGUACUGUUCAUCAUUCCAAAUAGGAAAAUGGUUUAUUAAGUAAAGAACGACUCAUAUAAAUGUCAGUAAUGCUAAACUGCGGCAGUUAUUCAUCUUGGUUAACGAAACAUCAAAAACGUUGGCCUUAUAUUUAAAAUGUAAUUUUUGCAUAGAAAAAAUGUUUGUUUAUACACACUUUAUUGCUGUCAUCAUACUUUUAGCAGUAGGUAUAUUUAUGUAUCAUGAUGUCUAAUUCUAUCAGUUAUGAAAUGGAAGCAUUAAGCUUCCAUCUUCAUAGAACUAAGCUAAAGCAGUACUAGAUAUAUGAUAGUAUUCUAUAAUGAUAAGAUAAGACAGGAAGGCAGUAGUUUUACGACUAACAGUAGUAUCAUGAUACAAUCUGGUUCCAGCAUUAAUCUAUGGCCAAAUUAGGUAAAGGGUUGCAUAACUGACCAAGGGUGUAGAUCACUUGACCAGUGAUAACCAAUGAUAGCUCAGCUUCACUUACAGUACAUCAGUUCUUUGCUCACUGCCAGAAGUGCAACAGUGUGUUCAUUUAUAUAUUCCUCCCACCAUCCCCAACAUCUCCUUUUCUAUUCAUAAUCCAUUGGGGCUCUCGCACAAUAAUUGCCCGUUUUCCCCAAUUCAGAUAAAGCUAAGUAUUAGAUUAGUUCUAAGGGUCACCUCAACGGUGUCAACCUUAGGCAACAUGCUAGUACUAUGACAUUAAUUACCUCUAGUAGAACCCGAUGGUGUCAACCCGGGUACUAGUACGAGUGUAUUGAGUAUUUACCCGAUGGUGUCAACCCGGGUAUCAAUAGUCAGUAUUUACCCGAUGGUGUCAACCCGGGUACCAAUAGUUAGUAUUUACCCAAUGGUGUCAAACCGAGUUCUGAUGGGUUCCCCGAUAGGUUGGGUCAAUGAUGUCAACCCGGGUUCAGUAGGGAUUUCCCGAGUGUCAACCAGGAAAUUCAGCUUUGGGGUUUACAGAUUAUUUUAUCGUAGUGACGUGAGUAGCCCCCGAGAAGGCCAAAUAUGUAGUUAUGUUAGAUAUGUUUAUUAUUCUAUUGUACACUAGGUGGUAUACUUUAUUAAAUUGUCUGUAGAUACAUGUAUGAAUGUGAAUAAAUUGUGAAUGUUA